AUGUCGACUGGCCCAGGGCUCUCUUCGCGGGAGAGCUUGUCUCGGCGGGAGCCUUAUUCUGUUCGUUGGGAAUACUUAAAGUCUCACUCUUUGCCGUCCAUGACCACACCGAUGAUCUGCAGGGGCAACGCAAUAAGUCACGCAUGCCUGAAUACGAUCAGAACUUGGAACUACAAAUCAGACGAAGAGAAAGUAAGAUUCUUCGCCAUGGACAGAGGUGAUGAAAUCACCGCCCUAGCGGAACUUUCGAGGAGGGAAUUAAUCUGGGGGAACAAUCGUGGAUACAUCUUUGUGGAAAAGCUCAAGUCUCGGUAUAAGUUUCGGGCUGGCUCAAGUGCAGUCGAUGAAAUAUUAAUUCUAGGCCCUGGUUGCAUCAUUGUGAAGUUCAACGACAAAACAAAGGCUCUUGUCGCCGUAGAAAGUGGACGCACGCUUAAACAUUUUGACAGCGAGACCGAAGUAUGUCGGUACAGGGAAAACACGUUCGCUUCGGUCCGUGGCAGAGAUAUCGAAGUUGUUGAAGUAAAUGCCCCAGGGAAAGUUUGGAGAUGGGAUAAUCAUUUUGGUCGAGAAUUUUCCGCAAUAAGAGUCGAGCGUGAUGAGCGGCUGAAAAUAUUUAUCUUGCUGAAGCAUGCGGAUCAGAGCGGGUUCACGAUAUGGUCAGUCAAGGAAAAUAUAUUCACCGAGGCCCCAUUGGACCGAAUCUGGACGGAUCAGUUUAAUGUCUUGGUGUUCAUCAAUAUUGAAACUUAUUUCAUUCCCAAAUUUAAUUUCAAAACGAAGGGCAUGUUGCUAGCGAAAUACACCUUUGAUGCACGGAAACAAAGCUACCGGUUUCGAGUAGGACCACAGGCCGGGCACGGGAAAGUGCUUUCCAUGAUACUUAGAAAAGACCCAAAACCAGCCCCUUGGCUUCGUGAUCCCGAGGACUUCAUAGUGUACGGGACAAGUAGAUUCAGAGCAUUUCCCUCAGGUGUUCAUAUUUUUAAUAUGAACUGCGAAUUGAUACAUUCCUUGAACUGUACCAAUGAUUCGGAUCCUUUAGCAUUGGUCAAGCUCAAAGACGGAUCCUUUGCGGUCAAGCUGUUCAAUUCUGUCAGCAUCUUGAAGAAGCGGAGCCUCUUCCGAAAUUACAAAAGCAGACUGUUCGUGGGCGAAGGUGAUUUCAGCUUCACCAAAGCGCUCGUCAAAAAACACAAGGGAAACCAUCCUGGCUUGCGAGGAGCUAUCGUCGCGACGGAGUUGUCGUUGUAUGCGGAAGUUAGCACGGAAGAACUAAUGUUUGAAGGGGUAGAGACUUAUCUCGGCAUCGACGCUCAGGAGCUACACAAGCACGCUAAGCGGUUCAAACGCAUCCACUGGAACUGCCCUUACCGAGAAGAUCUGACCAAUAGAAAUUUCGAUUUCCCUCGUGUGUUCAGAAAUUUCUUCGAGUCCUGCUCGAAGAUCCAACGGCCCGGCGAUCGGGUCCACGUCACCCUGAUGCAAGAAAGGCGUGAUGAUCUGUGGAAAAAACUCAGGCAGCAACAGUGCCCCAUCGUGUCGGGCUCCGCCCACGCGGGGUACCGUCUGAUCAGGAAGAGGAUCUUCGGGGAAGGGCGAUACCCGGGCUACGCGCACUGGAAGUCGGACGGGCAGUCGACGCACUCGGCGAAGGACGAGGACAUGCGGGAGUUCGUGUUCGAGAAAGUCGACUCCGGAGUGGAGUACCUUACUGGGAAGAGACACGCGGUUAAGAAGUACCGGCCCUCGGACACUGAGUACUAUUUUGAGUGCAGCACGGACUGCGACUCGUCCAGCUACGAAGACUCCACCUCUAGCGAAGACGACACGGACGCGAUAGUCGGGUAUGAGGGUGAAAGAUUCUCCUACGAGCAUUUGGAUCCGGUGAGCAUUGGGUCUAAUAUUGGAAUGCUGUCUGAUUCCAGUUUUUUAGCACCGUUGACUCCGGGCUCCAGGAACGUCCCUCCUUCCGGUUAUCGCGCUGCAGUGCGGCCUGAUUCCACUCUUGCACGGUCGUCAAUUCCAGGAUCCUCUUCCGAUGCACGUUCUGGAAUGGGGCUUGGUUCUGGUCCUUCCCAGCCGUCGACUUCGGGUUCCUGGAUUUGUCCUCCUUCCAGUAUUGGGCCUGACUCCAGUCGCAUCCUACCGUCAACUUCGGGAUCCGGGGACAUUCCCCCAUUAGAUUUUCUCGCUGAAAUAGGGCCUGGUUCCAGCUCUGCACGAUUGUCGACUCCCGGUGGUUCCAACGUUCCUUCUUCCGAUUUUCUUUCUGGAAUAGGACCUGGUUCCAGCUCUGCGCAAUCGUCGACUCCCGGUGGUUCCAACGUUCCUUCUUCCGAUUUUCUUUCUGGAUUUGGGCCUGGUUCCAACUCUGCACGACCGUCGACUCCCGGUGGUUCCAACGUUCCUUCCUCCGAUUUUCGUUCUGGAAUUGGACCUGGUUCCAGUCUUUUCCAGCCGUCGACUUCAGGAUCUGUGACCUUUGGAGUUGGUCCUUUCACUUCCGGAACUGAAACGAGGCCUGAUUCCCGAUUGACUUCAGGACCCAGGAACUUCCGUUCUUCCGGUCCCCGCGCUCAAAUGGGAAACCCUCGUCGUCAGCAGCAGUAUCGGAGUGGACACAUCUGGUCUGAAAGGAACAUCGGGGUCCGUAAUCCUCAAAGAGGCUCAAGUCUCAGAAAUGAAAACACUGGAAGGACAAAAGAAACUGUUUUAAUCGACCUGUCUUAA
rnacentral:lncRNA from 1 species